AGCCUGUGAAGGUGUACUGUGAGGUAUGCUGGAGGUAUCAGAAGUGCGAAUGCUGACAUAAGUAACGAUAAAGCGGGUGAAAAGCCCGCUCGCCGGAAGACCAAGGGUUCCUGUCCAACGUUAAUCGGGGCAGGGUGAGUCGACCCCUAAGGCGAGGCCGAAAGGCGUAGUCGAUGGGAAACAGGUUAAUAUUCCUGUACUUGGUGUUACUGCGAAGGGGGGACGGAGAAGGCUAUGUUGGCCGGGCGACGGUUGUCCCGGUUUAAGCGUGUAGGCUGGUUUUCCAGGCAAAUCCGGAAAAUCAAGGCCGAGGCGUGAUGACGAGGCACUACGGUGCUGAAGCAACAAAUGCCCUGCUUCCAGGAAAAGCCUCUAAGCAUCAGGUAACAUCAAAUCGUACCCCAAACCGACACAGGUGGUCAGGUAGAGAAUA
rnacentral:rRNA from 1 species